CUGCGUGAGAUUCUCCAGCUUUGUUGUUGUUGAGCAACCAAAGCACAAGCUGUUAAAGGGAUAGUUUACCCAAAAAUGAAAAUUUGAUGUUUAUCUGCUUACCCCCAGGGCAUCCAUGUAGGUGUACCCUGCAGUGUACCAAGGACAAUCACAAAAAAUGUGGUGUGAAACUGACCGUGUCCUGCCGUCAGAAACGUAACCAAUCCCGUCAAUGUGCGAGGCAGGGCUUUUCUCCACUGAUGUUCUAUAAUGAACUGACUCUGAGAUAGUGAACUGGUUUGUGUAUCAAUAGCAACACAUUAUUAGUUGUUUGAUAACGUAGUCACAUCAAAGGCUAAUCAUAUCAAUUACCGUUAUGUAUACGAUGUUGUAGGAAACGAUACAUAAAACGCAUCACUAUUCUGAUACAUCGACUUGUAUACAAGCUGUAUAAUUCCUUCUCCUUCUGAAUUUGGUUCAAACAUAUAUGGCUGAAUUAAACCAGUAUUUCGACUUGCGAUUGUGUAGCAUUUACUACAGUUGAGCGAGUGAGUGGAGGCGGGGCUAAUUUGCAUAUUCAUGGUUCCGCGUAUACUAAAUGAAGCAAGGGUGCAAAGUUACAUUCAAGCUAUUUUAAGGCAAGAAAAGAUUGUUUUCACAUUGAAACUGUUUAUAAUCUCUCUUGUUGCUUUUAUUUGUAGAUUUUACUGUGUAUUGUCCCAGAUACAAACUUUUUAAAUAUAAAAAUAUAAAGAUAUUAAAAUAUAUAAUAUUAAAAUGUACAAAUAUAUCAUAAGAAAUAUAUAAAUAUAAAAAAAAACAUAUACCGUCAAUAAUUUUUAUAUCAAUUUUUAUUCAAAUUUUAACUGUCCCACAGUGGUGAAGUAAUUUCCACUGCAACAAUCUAUUUGGCAUUAAUAAAGUGUUAAAAAGUUAAUGGUUACCAAGGAAACUAAGAAAAAUCAAGGUAAUUAUCCCAAGUUGACAGAAUAUUUUGUACAUAAUUUCCAAUUAAGCUGUAAUUUUGUCAAAUUAUGCAAAAAGUGUGAUUAUUAUUUAACUUUUUUAAAAUAUUAUUUAACUGUAUAUUUGCAUAAAAUGUUAGCUAUAAAUGAGCUUUAGCAAGACAAAGGAGUCAGCAAUUUUAUUCCAAAGAUGUUUAAAAUGUCAUUUCCACCACAGACAUAUAUAAUAUGAGAUGUGGUGGAAAUAUAGUGAAGUGUGUUUUAAGAGAGUUUAUUUUCUUAAAGUUUACAGGGACAAAAGCGCCCAUGUUUGAAAAAACACCCAUAUAUACUGCAUGAAAAUGCCACAAGCUCUCAGUUUCAAUAUUUUAUUCGUGUCUAUCGUUCUGUUCACUAGUCUCAUUCCAGCUCUCAGCUGGACGCUUCUGGAGCCGCUCUGAGCCAAAAACCCUCCAGCCUGACAUCCCAGAAAACCCUGGGGGCGACUCUGGAACGCAUGUUAAAACACUGGAACAUGCUGUGAUUGGAUCUCAGUGGCUGAAAGCUCAUUAAGGUGAAGAGGCACUUCCUGGGGGACAGGAAGUCAGCAGCAGGUGGCAUGAAAUAACACAUCAGAGGAAAGGAAAGACGUGAAAAGAAAUUGGAAGAAAGAGAUUUUCUGCUCUCAAAACAUCACUUCAAAGCCAUUCACACGCUACUGUAUUCUGUCAUUUUGCCCCAGUGUUUCCUCUUGAGCUUUUUCAGUUUUAUCCUUCAGUUGACACAUAAAUGCACACACAAAGACAUUUUCAACAAAUAUGGAUUGUCCUAUGGGAUUUCUACUGUUUUCAUAUAAAGCUAAUUAUAACAAGAACUCUAACCCUAGCCCUAAAAUGUUUUUUUUUUUUUUUUUGAGAAGUCAAACUCACAUUAUCUAAUAAUAUAACUAUUAUUUUAAGCACUUUUGUUCUCUAGUCUAUCUGUACUCAGCAUGCAUUGCAGAUGGAGUGUUUACUCGCCUCCUGAUACACACAUCUGACUCGAGACAGUUAUACUGUGACCUUUUGUUUUGUUUUCAACACCCAGUUGCAACAUUUCAUUACAAAGACAAACAGAAUCGCAUCUCAGCAGACUAAUGCAAUCUCAAAAACAAACAGCUCCUCUGUGAAAUUACUCCACAAACACUUUUCUCUUUGUCUCUCCACAAAACGAUUUACUUCUCUCUUGCUGUUUCCAAAUUUCAUGUGUUUUGUACCUCGUACUUUACUACUCUAUUUUCUGUUUCACAUUGGAAAUUGGAAAACCUUUUUUCAUCAGGUUACUGGUUGCAUGCAGUUCUACCGCACGUCGCAAAGUGCCUUUGAAAAAUGGUUGAUUUACAAACCGCAGUGUAAAGACAGAGCAUUCAGUAACCUCAGUUUAACAAAGACAGAUCUGAAUGUCAAUGGAGCUCCGAUUUGUCUUCCUUCAGGUCCUUUAAACUCAGUGUUGUUAUCUCAGCUGACUCUUUCUGCCCCUGUCUCUCUGCUGUCAUAAUUUAGCAAGUGACUGUUUUAAAAAGAACAUUCUGGGUUAUUUUCUAUGGACUGUAUCUGUAUAGCUUUUCUUUAGAUUGACACAGACAAGUACGUUCUGUCUACAAAUAAACAGGAAACACAAUAGAGUGCAAAAAGUUGGAACCUCCAGUUUCUCCAUAGGGAAAUUGAUUUUUAACAAUAACUUAUAAACCUUUAAAGACCCCCUGUGGUGAAAAUCAAGUUUUUAAUGUUGUUUAUAUGUCUAUCUGGUGUUUUUAAUGUGC